rnacentral:lncRNA from 1 species
AAAACAGAUCACCCCUAUUGUAUGGAAAAUUACACUGACGUCCCGUUUUAUUCGUCUCCAAUGGUAACCCUUACUUUUCCAAAUAGGCGAGGGUGGUGUAAUUUCUGAUAUUAUAGGGGUGUUUUGUAUUUUCAACAAACUACAAGGGUGGUCGUGUAACUUACCCUUAUUUCGUUUAAGCUAGUUGUCUUAGAAAUUAGGGUAGUCCAAUUCUUGUGCUUCUUUUUGCUACCUCCACUAAAUUUUAUUUUCCUUUGGUAUUUCAAAGGAAACGAAGAUUUAG